CCUACGGGAGGCUGCAGUGAGGAAUAUUGGUCAAUGGACGAGAGUCUGAACCAGCCAAGUAGCGUGAAGGAUGACUGCCCUAUGGGUUGUAAACUUCUUUUAUAAGGGAAUAAAAUGCGACACGUGUGGGAUAUUGUAUGUACCAUAUGAAUAAGGAUCGGCUAACUCCGUGCCAGCAGCCGCGGUAAUACGGAGGAUCCGAGCGUUAGCCGGAUUUAUUGGGUUGAAAGGGAGCGUCGGUGGCUUGGUAAGUCAGUGGUGAAAGUUUGCGGCUCCACCGUAAAAUUGCCGUUGAAACUGGCAGUCUUUAGUCCAGUCGCGUUGGGCUGAUUUCGUGGUGUCGCGG
rnacentral:rRNA from 1 species